UUUUUCUAUCCCUAAUAUCUUAAGUAACAUGUAUUAAUAUAAUAUGAAAUAUUUUUAGCUGGCUUUAGUAACGUCCUCGGAAGUGGUCAAACAAGCGAAAUUGAAAGGCCCAUUGAGUAAUAUAAAACCGUCAUCGGGUGGAUACACAAAAAAGAAGUUGUGCGUGUUCUCUGACAAUAAGGGGUACUGCGUUUCACAGCAGAAGGGACUCUAAAUAAAAAAGGGAGUGAGUAGUGAGUGUGUUAAGUGAGUGUGUUAAAG